UAUUCCAUGAUAAUGGGUUAGGUAAAUGUUUCAUGAUAAUGGUUUAGGUAAAUGUUUCAUGAUAAGAAAUUCAUGUCUUUUGUAUUAAAGAAUUAAAUGGAUGAAAUAUGAAGUUUUAUUAAAAGAAAAAGGGGUGAAAAGAACAAAGUUUUGUCCAUCUUUGUUCAUCAUAGUUGAAAGUUAGAGAAGAGAAAGGAGAGGAGAAAGCUCUUGAGUAUUUGGUCAUUAGGAGGAGGAAAAUUGAAGGAAAUCCCCAACCAUAGUGGGCUUGGAGCUGUGAGGGAAUUCGGAGUGGCCACCCGUUCUGAAAGUUUGAUUUUCUUCUGGUGAACUGGACAUCCUUUUAAUUACGUUUGAGGUUUUGGGUUUUUAAAUGUAAUAAGGCCGCUUAUUUAUUUUUGAUGGUUUUUAAUAUGUAUUACUAAGGUAGGUAAUACUUAUUUUAACUGUUGAAUUUGGAUAGCUUUAGGGCACGUUUUCAAAAACAA